ACCCCAGGGCCCUGCCCCUUCAUGCCAGGGCACCAGGUGUGGGUAGGCAGGCAGGCUCAGCAAGACAGGAUCCAGGUGUGGAGGGAUCCAGAUGUGGGGUAAGAGGGUUCUGUGUGGGGCAGUCUGGGUGCGGGUGGCUCAGUGGGGGAUCCGGGUGUCUGGGGUGGGGGAUCUGGAUGCACAGGGGCUAGUUGGGGAGUUCUGGGUGCAGUGGUAAUAGGACUCUGCAGGGAGGUCCAGGUGAAGGUGGUUGGGGCUCACCAGGGUGUCUGGGUGUGGGGGACUCAAUGUAGU